rfam:Mus musculus chromosome 5, GRC primary reference assembly.
AUUGCUUCUCGCCUUUUGGGUAAGAUCAAGUGUAGUAUCUGUUCUUAUCAGUUUAACAUUUCAUAAUCUUCUCAUCUUAUAUACUAGUUCUU